GCUUUCAAAGGAUAAUAGUAAUCCAAUGGUCUUAGGAGCCACACAUCUUGGUGCAAAUCCAAGUGAAAGUA
rnacentral:tRNA from 1 species